CAUAUAAUUUUCACGAGUCGUGAAAUAUUCUUCUUUGGUCCUUUCCCCCCCGCCCCACCAAUCCUCUAAAAGUGUAAGAACUAUUCUCAGCUCAUGGGCCAUGCAAAAAUAGGCAGCUGGUUGGAUCUCACUUGUGGGCUGUGGUUUGCCAACCCUCCUUUAGAGCUGGUUCUGCUGUUUAUCAAGUGUGUAAUCUUGGAUAGGUUCCCUGGAUAAACCUCAGUGUCCUCAGCUACAAGACGCGAAAAGUAAGGAGGAGUUCCUCCGUCAGGGACUGGGGGAUGCGAUGGAGUAACUGUGAAGUGUUUAGCAUGAUACUUACGUAGAUCACUCUUGGGAGUGGGAGGUGUCAUGAUAAGAUGAUGCUGAGUCCCUUGAAGUUGUUUGUCCUCCCAAAAUAUACUGAUAGGGGGUGCUUGUCACUGUGUAACAACCUCAGCCUUUUUUGCACUUGGUGCUAGUGAAAAGUUGAGGGAAAAUCCAACCAUGCCCACAGGACAGAAAUACUUUUUUUUUUUUUAAACCAAAGAAAAGCCUUUUUACAAAAUAGCAACUCAUCAGGGAAAAGAAAUGUCCGAACUAAAUGAGAGCAGGCUGCACGUUGGACCUGCUGACAUGAAGCCAGGGCAAGGUGCUUCCCCACUCUGGCCUGCGUUUCCUCCUCUGCAUAAGGAGAAUUUUGGAUUUGGUCCUCUCCCGGGUCAGUCCACCUCUAACACUCUGUCAUGCCAGGUGAUAACCAAAAUAUCUAGAUCCAGCAUUCAUGUCUGCAAUGUUCUUGCUUUGCUAGCAAGGCCCCUGCCACCAAGAGGAGAUCACACGUUUUCUAGAUGUCCUUUUUUACCUCCCCACAGGGUCACUGGGGCUUCCCUGUAGGUGAGGUCCUUGGGCAAGUCUACCUCUCUACACCUCAGUUUCCUCAUCUGUGAAAUGGGGAUAAUAACAAUGGUCUCAACAGCACGGGGUUGAGGGGAAAACGAAAUAGGAUGCUAGGUGCAAAGUGCAUAGCAUGGGACAAGAACUUUGCCAAAGUCAACGAAGAGCUCAGUGUUCUGCAUUGGUGCCCGCCUCCAUGCUCAGGUCCUCAAGAGACCCGUGACGGUCUUCCCUUGAUCUUGGCUUUGGUGUUGGUGAUGGCGGUAAGGAAUCAUCUAGUAGCCAAGUAGGACCUUUUAUUCCUGAGGACUAAUGAGACUGUGAACUUUGUGAAUCCUCCACUCCUAGCAGCCAGAAGACUCAGCCCAGGCCAGAGGUCGUGGUCUGUGGGGCUCUGGUGGUCAGCAGAAGAGGCCAGGAUAGAGCGAGACGGACAAUGACCACGAGCACAGAAAGCUGCAGAGGAGCAGGAUCCAGAAGCAGAAGCUUGUGACUUGGCACCUGUUUCCGGAACCCACUAUGGCCCAACCUUCUCAGAAGAUUUUGCACCUUGAGCCAAAGAGGAUGCAGGGCUCUUGGGACCCAAGAGCCUGAGUAGGGCUUCUGCCCUCCCUCUCCGGCCUGAAGUUUCCCAUUCAUCAGCUGGAACCUUCACACCUGCCCAGAGGACUGCUGACUCGCACUGACGGUGGCCACAAGGUGUGACCUUUCAACAUGAUGAUCCUGGGGCGUGAGACUUAGUGGUGGCUGUCCCCAAGAGCACGCCUGGCAAGAGUACCAGCUGGAAACUGCAUGAGCUUUCUGGGAUGAGGCAUGUGGCCUUUCUUCCAUUGCCUUUUAUUGGUAACAAGUAAGUCACAAAGGCUGGCUCAGUCUCAGGAGGAGGGGACACAGACUCCCGCCUUUCUCAAAUAAUGUAUAGAUUUGUUUAGAACCAUCACAUGAAUCAGUGAGAUGUGUGCUCAGUGAUGGUCACUGGGUGGGGAGGAAGCAGUCGGAACACAGACAUGGUAGCUGGAGCUCAAGCAACCAUCUUGGACCAUGAGGACUCCACGGACAGACACCAGGAGCCAACAGCACUGCACAGACAAUAGUGACCAUGCACAGUGAGUAGAAUCUCAACCUGACACAGGUGAGUCCUAAGAGCUGAGGAGGCCUUGUGUUGCCCUGGGCAUCAAUACCAGUGGUCAGUGCUGGCUGGGUCUCCUCCCUGUCUAUGAGAGCUCUGUGAGCUGCCGACCACGGCAGCAGCUGACUUGGGAAGCACCAAGGGGCUGGUCCAGGGCAGAUGUGCCCAGGCAGGUGGAGGUGUCUGCUUGGGGCAGGGCCAGCCCUGGAGCUACACUGGCCCCUAGGUAGGCCAGGUCGAGUGAGCUGGUGUGAUCACCAGUGGGUUGCUUCUAACCAUUGACAUCUUGGAGAGGGAGGUUUUGAAGUCAACUUUGCUUUAUAGAAACCGGCCCAAUUGCAGGACAGCUUUCUGGAGGGUCCCAAAAGUUGUGGAAUUGCCUGAGGUCUGGGGAGUAUGGACCAGGGCAGGAGAAACUCAGGGACUUGUUCCAAAAGUCUUCCAAUUUCUCCCACAGCCGUCACCCCAACCACCACCUAGGAAACAGGAAACCACUCCCCAAAGAAGAGUCAACAGAUGGUUCAUGGAACAACAAACAUAGGAACACUUGCUAUUCAGUAAGGGCCUAGGCUUUUCCUAUAUUAUCCUAUGUUAUCUCCUUUCACCUUCACAACAGCUCUGCAAGAGAAUAUCACUAUUCACUUUCUACAGAGGAGGAGACUGAAAUUCAGAAAGAUGAAGUCAUGUGCCUAAGAUCACAUGACAAGUGGCAGAGACAAGCCUGAAAGCCAAACCUACCUGGCCGUGAAUCUUGUUUUCUUUUCUCUGCCCUAUCCUAACCCUCACCUCUAGAUAUGGCACUGGGAGUUGGGCUUGGAUACGCUCCAGGAUCCUUGAGUGACAGCAGAAAUAUGUCUGCGGCUGCCUCAGGCCAUUCAAUAGUAAGCUCAGCUGGUUCCAGGACAAAUCCUGUAGGAGGGGAGCACUCUCAAUGCUUGGAGGCCCCAUGGGGGUUCCACCAGACGCUGCCCAGACCAUCUGCAGCCAGGACAGCAGAGGCGGGGGCCCAGCAGCUGGGAAAAUGACUGUGGAACUAUUUCCCAGAAAAGAAUAAUGGAAAAUGGGGCUUAUUAGUGGGGAAAAGUGAAGAUUAUGCAACUAAAGGACUGGAUUUUCCAUACGAAGGCUUCUCUCCCUGUCUCUCAUUCUUCAUCUUGCUUUGAUUGCGAACAAAGCCCUGUCUUUUUCUAGACUGAGCAAAUGGUUUGUCCUCAAUGCUUUCUUGGGAACACUUGGCCCAAAACUCACCUUGGAUGAGA
rnacentral:lncRNA from 1 species